GACGAACGCUGGCGGCGUGCUUAACACAUGCAAGUCGAACGGAAAGGCCCUGCUUUUGUGGGGUGCUCGAGUGGCGAACGGGUGAGUAACACGUGAGUAACCUGCCCUUGACUUUGGGAUAACUUCAGGAAACUGGGGCUAAUACCGGCUAGGAGCUCCUGCUGCAUGGUGGGGGUUGGAAAGUUUCGGCGGUUGGGGAUGGACUCGCGGCUUAUCAGCUUGUUGGUGGGGUAGUGGCUUACCAAGGCUUUGACGGGUAGCCGGCCUGAGAGGGUGACCGGCCACAUUGGGACUGAGAUACGGCCCAGACUCCUACGGGAGGCAGCAGUGGGGAAUAUUGCACAAUGGGCGGAAGCCUGAUGCAGCAACGCCGCGUGCGGGAUGACGGCCUUCGGGUUGUAAACCGCUUUCGCUUGUGACGAAGCGUGAGUGACGGUAAUGGGUGAAGAAGCACCGGCUAACUACGUG
rnacentral:rRNA from 1 species